rnacentral:rRNA from 1 species
UUUCGCAAUGCCCGAAAGGGUGACGAAGCGACGCCGCGUGUGGGAAGAAGGCCCUCGGGUUGUAAACCACUGUCAGGAGUUAAGAAAUAUAGAGAUGUUAAUAGCGUCUCUAUUUGACGAAGGCUCCAGAGGAAGCCACGGCUAACUCUGUGCCAGCAGCCGCGGUAAUACAGAGGUGGCAAGCGUUGUUCGGAAUUAUUGGGCGUAAAGAGCACGUAGGCGGCCUUGCAAGUCAGUUGUGAAAGCCUUUCGCUCAACGGAAGAAUGGCAGCUGAUACUACAGGGCUAGAGUGCGGGAGGGGAGAGCGGAACUUCUGGUGGAGCGGUGAAAUGCGUAGAUAUCAGAAGGAACGCCGGCGGCGAAAGCGACUCUCUGGACCGCAACUGACGCUGAGUGUGCGAAAGCUAGGGGAGCAAACGGGAUUAGAUACCCCGGUAGUCCUAGCCGUAAGCGAUGGGCACUAAGUAGAGGGGUUUUA